rnacentral:tRNA from 1 species
GCUCAGUUGGUUGAGCAUCUAACUCUUGAUUUCAGCUCAGGUUAUGAUCUCAUGGUUUGUGGGUUCAGGUCCUGCACUGGGCU